UCAUCUCAAGAAUGCAAACAUAAGUGCUAGAGGCACACCUCAUCCGAAAGAAGAGAAGCUAAUCAUGUUACUUCAUGAGUACAUGGAAAAAAUAGGAUGGGCAAUGACCAAAUCAAAAGGAGUGCUACACUUUUUGCUCAAUACAGUUGGGACUCUUUUCCCUUCUCCAAUUACUUGAGCCUCGAUCAAGUGGAUCGCACCAUGCACACCACACCCAGGGGAGUACUCAGUUUCCUUUAUUCUUUUAUGUUUCUUAUAUAUUGAGGACAAUGCAUGAUUUAAGUGUGGGG
rnacentral:lncRNA from 1 species